UGAUCUUGAUGAUAUUUGUUUUUAUAAUUGGUUCCAACAAACUAAACGCAAUAGAGCAGUUAGUAAUUUUGAAAGUCGUUUCCAAAAUCAAAUCCUACAUUGGUUCAGUUGUUUUAAAAAAUACGCCAUCAGAAUUUAUAUAUCAUUUCCGUGUGAGUCAUGAAAUAUUUGAAAUACUUUUGAUGUCAUUACCACCUAGAAGUAAAUCAAUAAGAGGAAGACCAUUAUUGGAUAAUUCUUUUUGUUUAAUAUUAACUCUAUGAUGUUGGCUAAUGAAAAGGAAACCUAUAGACAAACUAGAGAGCGGUUUGGAAUUAGUGAAAGUACUGCUUUUAGAGUCUUUAAAAGUACCAUUUCAUCGAUUUCUAACUUGGAAGAGAAAUACAUUGUAUGGCCCACAGAAUUGGCAGCCCAAAGAAACAUUAAUGGAUUUUAUAAUCUUAGAAAAGUGCCAUUUCCCGGAGCGUUUUGUGUAGUCG